UACAGAGGAGCCAAGCGUUGUCCGGAUUGACUGGGCGUAAAGCGCACGCAGGCGGCCGCGCGCGUGGGGUGUGAAAUCUGGCCGCUUAACGGCCAGGCGCCAUCCCAUACGGCGCGGCUGGAGCCAUGCAGAGGGCGGUGGAAUUGCCGGUGUAGUGGUGAAAUGCGUAGAGAUCCGGAAGAACACCGGUGGCGAAGGCGGCCUGCUGGGCAGUUGCUGACACUGAGGCGCGACAGCGUGGGGAGCAAACAGG
rnacentral:rRNA from 1 species